ACAGGGUUGGAGAGCCCUGACUUAGAUAAUAAUUCACAGUGACUUCAAUGGUGCUUGUACCAGAGCUGCCAUGUCUACAGUUGAACAAACAUACUUGCUAAAUUGCUAGUCAGAUAUAAUGUGCUCCACCCUUUCCUGCUUCUACGAAGGAGAAGGACAAGAAGACCCCAUCUCUAACCAUUUGGACCAUUCCCACUGAACGGCCUUGGACACGGGUCUGCAGCUCACCAACUCUCUCUCUCUGUACAACCCACCUAGUACACCCGUUAAGAAAGGACUGGACUUGAGCAGCACUAAACCUGUUCACAAAGGACUGAACAUCAGCAUGCUCAAAGAACAGAAUGGCUGGAAGUGACCCCACAAGACAGAUACACUUUUAUAAGUCAAUUGGUCUUGGUGAUGUCCAGAGAGAGAGCAAAUAGAGAAAGAUGUCAUACAAUGAAGGGUUACAGGGAAAACAUAUCUGCAAAGGUCAAGCCCUGUACUGUGCCCUCAAGGACCUGAAGAGUAUGGCUGUCUCUUCCCCCUGUACAGAAAACAGGCGAUCAGCCCUCUACUUCAAAACACGGGGAGACUGACAGGGAGAGUGUUCCUGAGGCAAGCCAGUAAAACUGACUGGAAAAUUUGUGAGUAGCACAAACCGGCAGACAUUUUAUCUCUCCAAGAUGAAUAAAUUGUCUAUCAAACAUUUCUCAGAAGGACCUAAUGUCUGCUCCUCUCUCUGAGAAAGAAAAUAUGCAGUUAAAUUUGGUUAUGAAAAUUACAAGAUUGUGAAAGCACAUUGUACUUGCUUCAAUAUAUCCCCUAGGUGCCAAACAUGUCAUCUGGUGCAUCAGACUUUUGAGUGUAGCGGAAUCCGGUCCAGACGCUAGGCUGUAAACCAACUGCAAAACUUUAGAAUGUUUUUGAGGCGGCAGGUAUUUAUUCCAGUAAAGUGAGUGACCAAGCAACUUUCACUUUAUUUCUUUACUUUGCAACCUCACUCUCUUUAACCAUGAUGAACUAUACUUUAUAUAAUGCUUAUUUAUUGUAAUGGGAAGGUUUGUAAUUAACUGUUUCACUAUCACGUACGUAAAUAUUUUUUGUAAGAAAUAUUUGAAAAUAAAAUGUUGAUGCUU